rnacentral:rRNA from 1 species
GACGUAGGGCGCGAGCGUUGUCCGGAUUUAUUGGGCGUAAAGAGCUCGUAGGCGGCUUGUCGCGUCGUCCGUGAAAACCCACAGCUCAACUGUGGGCUUGCGGUCGAUACGGGCAGGCUAGAGUUCGGUAGGGGAGACUGGAAUUCCUGGUGUAGCGGUGAAAUGCGUAGAUAUCUGGAGGAACACCGGUGGCGAAGGCGGCAUCCUGGACCGGCAUUGACGCUGAGGCGCGAAAGCCAGGGGAGCAAACGGG